CAAUAGCGUAUAUUAAAGUUGUUGCAGUUAAAAAGCUCGUAGUUGGAUUUGUGGCGUACGGUGUGUUCCGGGCACUUGUUGUCUGAGUAACCUGCUGUUGCCAUCCUUGGGUGGAACCUGUGUGGCAUUAGGUUGUCGUGCAGGGGAUGCCCAUCAUUUACUGUGAAAAAAUUAGAGUGUUCAAAGCAGACUUAUGCCGUUGAAUAUAUUAGCAUGGAAUAAUGAGAUAGGACUUUCUUGCUAUUUUGUUGGUUUGCGCAAAGAGGUAAUGAUUAAUAGGGACAGUUGGGGGUAUUCGUAUUCCAUUGUCAGAGGUGAAAUUCUUGGAUUUUUGGAAGACGAACUACUGCGAAAGCAUUUACCAAGGAUGUUUUCACUAA
rnacentral:rRNA from 1 species